GACACAACAAAUAAGAACGGCUUCCGUCGGUUCAUGAUAUUAUUGUCACAUUCAGACUACGAUCAGUCAGCUACAACUUGGUUGGUCGACUUCACUCGUUCUGAAAGUACGCAGGCGUACCAAGCAUGAUGAGCAUGGUUCGAGUACCAUGUACUACUAGAGACUGUACUACAUGUCGAGUGCAACCCAAUCGACCCAAUAAGAAGGCUCUCUAUCAACUUCGUGAAGAAACUCGAAUCUAAAACCAGCGUCUUACCAUGCUAUCCGUGAAAUAGGUGGACAAGUCUCGUUCGGGCAGCGGUUCCAUACGAGCGCGACACAAUCUCCCGGCCAAAGACACCACCACCAACACGAGGCACAAGGCCAAAGAAAGCACCAAGGCCAAAUAUGUUACUCGCCUGAAUGAAGAGAUGGCCAACCAGGAUGGUCAAUGGUAAUCGGUCGAUAUCGAAGCCCCAAUUUCCAGCUUUCCAAAGCAACUCAUUGACGUUCAUUUAUCUACUCCAGUGGAAAGUGGCAGGGCAGUGGAGACGAGUUCUUCCUAGUUCUACCUGUGGAUUCUACAGCCGAAAAUCAUCACCGUCUCGUGAGUGAUCUAUCUACCUUGGUCGGCUCUUCUUACUACUUACACUCGUACGUGCUUACCUCUCUCAAGUUUCUUUCUCUUUCUCUCUGUGCUAACCGUGCUAACCGUGCUAACUGUGCUAACUGUGAGAGGCUCCGCCGUUUGGACGGCCGAGCCGCCAAGCCGCCAAGCCAAGCUCUACCAGGCUGCUACCUCAUCGCUCGAGACAGGAAUCUCCCAGGGCCCUGGCCAGUCUCGACACGAUGGACGGAUGAAGUGCCACACCUGAGAAUCAAGUUCCUUGUCCCGGACAGACGGGAAGGGCGGCCUGAGGUUGGGUGAAGGGAUCAAGCACAUCAAGACGAAAGAACCCUACCUGUCCAAUGGGCAAUUCUAGAGGCAAUCCCAAUGAACCGACAAGAAGUAGUAAAUCUGGAUGGUGUACCGGUAUGUACCGAGUCCGCAGCUCUGGCACUGGAUUUUGGAAUUGAAGUCCGAGACUCUCUGUAGACAUACAGAGAUGAAAAGGUAGCAAAUCUGGACAUGUUGGAUCUAGGUACUACCAUCAUUAAGACGAUGCCGGCAAUCGCAACGAGGAAGAGGUUGAUCUGAAGGAGGGUAUCGAACGAUUGAUGGAAAUUUUGAACAAAACGGUCUGUUUCUAUUGGAUGAUGAUCAUGGGUCCAUGGUACAUUACCGAUCUAGCCAUCACUAUUUGAGUACCAUUAACGGAAAAGGUGAUCAUAGGACGAAUGUAGGCAUGGUUUUCUACGAAAACCUUGAUUUUGACGGACAUAAAAAUCUUCUAAGAUCAAUUUCAGACCAACGCUACAAUCUGAUAGUGGCAGAAUUUGCCUGUUAUAGUUUGUUAAUGGACCAAAUCAAAGAUAUACUUCAACAGAAAUAGCUCAAAACCAAGAAGAUUACAACUAGCUUGCUGUAAAAUAUUUAGACGCAACAUAGUUCCAUCUAUUACAAACACAAGCGCUUUCCGGAAAAAUAUGAAAGAAAUCGUUGUCAGGAACUUUAAAUCUGAGGAACGCGAGGAAUUUGGUUCACUAAACCUCAAUAGUCAUUUCCAUUCUCCUACUAGAUUUCUCUCCUCUCGUAGAGGACAAACAAACGGAGAAAUACAAGAAUACGAAUACCUGACUUCAACAAGGUAUUCUUCUGUUAACGACUCAUUGCUGAUCUAUUCUAACAUCGAAAAUACAAGAGACCUUUCAAAUCCUGGAAGGUUAAAAUUACAAACACUUUAUACAUACCAAAAAGUGAUAACCAGAGAGCUCUAUAUGUUAUAUUUGCAGCGUACCAGCUAGUUUUCAUCAGCAUCUUUUUCCAUUAAAUCGUGCUAAAAACGCCAAUGGUAAGUUAAGAAAAAGUAAUGUUUUUAAGGUUAGCCACCAAAAACUUGCGCAACUGUACUUUUCCUAGUAAUAUUUGGUUGGAAACGAUGAUUGCCUAAGUGUUGACGCGUUGUCAAACAUACAGUAUAAAACCUCCUGUAAAAUGAUGAUUUAUACGUCAUAAUUAUUCGGAAUUUCACCUAUAGAGAAUUGGAAGCGUCUCCGAGAAGAGUUGACGGGUUAUUCAAUGUAUCACAGUACUUUGGUAAUUGAUUUUUUAUGAAAUAACCACUUAAUAAAGUCCGACAUCUUAGAGCGUAUUCUCUCGUUUCUACGUUUGUCCGCACCUAGACGAAGCAGAGGGCGCUUCCUCCGCGAUCCGCUCAUUGAAAAGGGCUAUAUAAUUGCUUUUGUCAAUUUUCCGACACAAAUAUUUGUCGUUGAGUAAAGCGUUUAGCGAUCGGAAGUAAAUUACCAUAUUCCUUUACUUAUAUUCAUGGGGUUAGGGGACGCCAUGAUGUGGGAGAAAAGAUUUUCAAGAUUUUGAAUCACAUACGGUAAACCUUUUUCCCUUCUCGUCCCCACCCAAUGAAAAGAGGAAGCAUUUCCUUGACUUCAUAACUGCUCCUGAGAAGGGAUUCCCCAAUAGUUCAAGAUAGAAAAAAUGUGCAUCUGAUUUAGCUUUGCUUCCA